rnacentral:rRNA from 1 species
UACGUAGGGCGCAAGCGUUGUCCGGAAUUAUUGGGCGUAAAGAGCUCGUAGGCGGCCUGUUGCGUCCGCUGUGAAAUCCCGGGGCUCAACCCCGGGCCUGCAGUGGAUACGGGCAGGCUAGAGUUCGGCAGGGGAGACUGGAAUUCCUGGUGUAGCGGUGAAAUGCGCAGAUAUCAGGAGGAACACCGGUGGCGAAAGCGGCUUCCUGGUCCGACACCGACGUUCAGGCACGAAAGCGUGGGGAGCAAACAGG